UACGAAGGGUGCUAGCGUUGCUCGGAAUCACUGGGCGUAAAGCGCACGUAGGCGGGUUCUUAAGUCAGGGGUGAAAUCCUGGAGCUCAACUCCAGAACUGCCUUUGAUACUGGGAAUCUCGAGUCCGGGAGAGGUGAGUGGAACUGCGAGUGUAGAGGUGAAAUUCGUAGAUAUUCGCAAGAAUACCAGUGGCGAAGGCGGGUCACUGGCCCGGCACUGACGCUGAUGUGCGAAAGCGUGGGGAGCAAACAGG
rnacentral:rRNA from 1 species